rnacentral:rRNA from 1 species
AGAGUUUGAUCAUGGCUCAGAUUGAACGCUGGCGGCAGGCCUAACACAUGCAAGUCGAACGGUAACAGGAAGCAGCUUGCUGCUUUGCUGACGAGUGGCGGACGGGUGAGUAAUGUCUGGGAAACUGCCUGAUGGAGGGGGAUAACUACUGGAAACGGUGGCUAAUACCGCAUAACGUCGCAAGACCAAAGAGGGGGACCUUCGGGCCUCUUGCCAUCAGAUGUGCCCAGAUGGGAUUAGCUAGUUGGUGAGGUAACGGCUCACCAAGGCGACGAUCCCUAGCUGGUCUGAGAGGAUGACCAGCCACACUGGAACUGAGACACGGUCCAGACUCCUACGGGAGGCAGCAGUGGGGAAUAUUGCACAAUGGGCGCAAGCCUGAUGCAGCCAUGCCGCGUGUAUGAAGAAGGCCUUCGGGUUGUAAAGUACUUUCAGCGGGGAGGAAGGUGUUGUGGUUAAUAACCACAGCAAUUGACGUUACCCGCAGAAGAAGCACCGGCUAACUCCGUGCCAGCAGCCGCGGUAAUACGGAGGGUGCAAGCGUUAAUCGGAAUUACUGGGCGUAAAGCGCACGCAGGCGGUCUGUCAAGUCGGAUGUGAAAUCCCCGGGCUCAACCUGGGAACUGCAUUCGAAACUGGCAGGCUUGAGUCUUGUAGAGGGGGGUAGAAUUCCAGGUGUAGCGGUGAAAUGCGUAGAGAUCUGGAGGAAUACCGGUGGCGAAGGCGGCCCCCUGGACAAAGACUGACGCUCAGGUGCGAAAGCGUGGGGAGCAAACAGGAUUAGAUACCCUGGUAGUCCACGCCGUAAACGAUGUCUACUUGGAGGUUGUGCCCUUGAGGCGUGGCUUCCGGAGCUAACGCGUUAAGUAGACCGCCUGGGGAGUACGGCCGCAAGGUUAAAACUCAAAUGAAUUGACGGGGGCCCGCACAAGCGGUGGAGCAUGUGGUUUAAUUCGAUGCAACGCGAAGAACCUUACCUGGUCUUGACAUCCACAGAAGAAUCCAGAGAUGGAUUUGUGCCUUCGGGAACUGUGAGACAGGUGCUGCAUGGCUGUCGUCAGCUCGUGUUGUGAAAUGUUGGGUUAAGUCCCGCAACGAGCGCAACCCUUAUCCUUUGUUGCCAGCGGUCCGGCCGGGAACUCAAAGGAGACUGCCAGUGAUAAACUGGAGGAAGGUGGGGAUGACGUCAAGUCAUCAUGGCCCUUACGACCAGGGCUACACACGUGCUACAAUGGCGCAUACAAAGAGAAGCGACCUCGCGAGAGCAAGCGGACCUCAUAAAGUGCGUCGUAGUCCGGAUUGGAGUCUGCAACUCGACUCCAUGAAGUCGGAAUCGCUAGUAAUCGUGGAUCAGAAUGCCACGGUGAAUACGUUCCCGGGCCUUGUACACACCGCCCGUCACACCAUGGGAGUGGGUUGCAAAAGAAGUAGGUAGCUUAACCUUCGGGAGGGCGCUUACCACUUUGUGAUUCAUGACUGGGGUGAAGUCGUAACAAGGUAACCGUAGGGGAACCUGCGGUUG